rnacentral:rRNA from 1 species
CCUACGGGGGCAGCAGUGGGGAAUAUUGGACAAUGGGCGAAAGCCUGAUCCAGCCAUGCCGCGUGUGUGAAGAAGGCCUUCGGGUUGUAAAGCACUUUCAGUGGGGAAGAAAGCCUUGGGGCUAAUACCCUCGAGGAAGGACAUCACCCACAGAAGAAGCACCGGCUAACUCCGUGCCAGCAGCCGCGGUAAUACGGAGGGUGCGAGCGUUAAUCGGAAUUACUGGGCGUAAAGCGCGCGUAGGCGGUCUGAUAAGCCGGUUGUGAAAGCCCCGGGCUCAACCUGGGAACGGCAUCCGGAACUGUCAGGCUAGAGUGCAGGAGAGGAAGGUAGAAUUCCCGGUGUAGCGGUGAAAUGCGUAGAGAUCGGGAGGAAUACCAGUGGCGAAGGCGGCCUUCUGGACUGACACUGACGCUGAGGUGCGAAAGCGUGGGUAGCAAACAGGAUUAGGUACCCUUGUAGUC